GGUGAACGCUGGCGGUAGGCCUAACACAUGCAAGUCGAACGGCAGCACAGUAAGAGCUUGCUCUUACGGGUGGCGAGUGGCGGACGGGUGAGGAAUACAUCGGAAUCUACUUUUUCGUGGGGGAUAACGUAGGGAAACUUACGCUAAUACCGCAUACGACCUACGGGUGAAAGCAGGGGAUCUUCGGAUCUUGCGCGAUUGAAUGAGCCGAUGUCGGAUUAGCUAGUUGGCGGGGUAAAGGCCCACCAAGGCGACGAUCCGUAGCUGGUCUGAGAGGAUGAUCAGCCACACUGGAACUGAGACACGGUCCAGACUCCUACGGGAGGCAGCAGUGGGGAAUAUUGGACAAUGGGCGCAAGCCUGAUCCAGCCAUACCGCGUGGGUGAAGAAGGCCUUCGGGUUGUAAAGCCCUUUUGUUGGGAAAGAAAAGCAGCAGGUUAAUACCCCGCUGUUCUGACGGUACCCAAAGAAUAAGCACCGGCUAACUUCGUG
rnacentral:rRNA from 1 species